AUUGACCUCGGAUCAGGUAGGGAUACCCGCUGAACUUAAGCAUAUCAAUAAGCGGAGGAAAAGAAACCAACAGGGAUUGCCUCAGUAACGGCGAGUGAAGCGGCAUCAGCUCAAAUUUAAAAUCUGGCCCCGUCGGGGUCCGAGUUGUAAUUUGUAGAGAGUGCCUCGGGUGAGGCCCCGGUCUAAGUCCAUUGGAACAUGGUGUCAUAGAGGGUGAGAAUCCCGUAUGCGACCGUGGCUCGAGCCCAUGUGAAGCCUCUUCGACGAGUCGAGUUGUUUGGGAAUGCAGCUCAAAAUGGGUGGUAAAUUUCAUCUAAAGCUAAAUACUGGCUGGAGACCGAUAGCGCACAAGUAGAGUGAUCGAAAGAUGAAAAGCACUUUGGAAAGAGAGUCAAAAAGUACGUGAAAUUGUUGAAA
rnacentral:rRNA from 1 species